UUAAGCGACUAAGCGUACACGGUGGAUGCCCUGGCAGUCAGAGGCGAUGAAGGACGUGCUAAUCUGCGAAAAGCGUCGGUAAGGUGAUAUGAACCGUUAUAACCGGCGAUGUCCGAAUGGGGAAACCCAGUGCAAUUCGUUGCACUAUCGUUAACUGAAUACAUAGGUUAACGAGGCGAACCGGGGGAACUGAAACAUCUAAGUACCCCGAGGAAAAGAAAUCAACCGAGAUUCCCCCAGUAGCGGCGAGCGAACGGGGAGCAGCCCAGAGUCUGAAUCAGCUUGUGUGUUAGUGGAACGGUCUGGAAAGUCCGACGGUACAGGGUGAUAGUCCCGUACACCAAAAUGCACAGGCUGUGAACUCGAAGAGUAGGGCGGGACACGUGGUAUCCUGUCUGAAUAUGGGGGGACCAUCCUCCAAGGCUAAAUACUCCUGACUGACCGAUAGUGAACCAGUACCGUGAGGGAAAGGCGAAAAGAACCCCGGCGAGGGGAGUGAAAAAGAACCUGAAACCGUGUACGUACAAGCAGUGGGAGCACCUUCGGGUGUGACUGCGUACCUUUUGUAUAAUGGGUCAGCGACUUAUAUUCUGUAGCAAGGUUAACCGUAUAGGGGAGCCGCAGGGAAACCGAGUCUUAACUGGGCGUUAAGUUGCAGGGUAUAGACCCGAAACCCGGUGAUCUAGCCAUGGGCAGGUUGAAGGUUGGGUAACACUAACUGGAGGACCGAACCGACUAAUGUUGAAAAAUUAGCGGAUGACUUGUGGCUGGGGGUGAAAGGCCAAUCAAACCGGGAGAUAGCUGGUUCUCCCCGAAAGCUAUUUAGGUAGCGCCUCGUGAAUUCAUCUUCGGGGGUAGAGCACUGUUUCGGCUAGGGGGUCAUCCCGACUUACCAACCCGAUGCAAACUACGAAUACCGAAGAAUGUUAUCACGGGAGACACACGGCGGGUGCUAACGUCCGUCGUGAAGAGGGAAACAACCCAGACCGCCAGCUAAGGUCCCAAAGUCAUGGUUAAGUGGGAAACGAUGUGGGAAGGCACAGACAGCCAGGAUGUUGGCUUAGAAGCAGCCAUCAUUUAAAGAAAGCGUAAUAGCUCACUGGUCGAGUCGGCCUGCGCGGAAGAUGUAACGGGGCUAAACCAUGCACCGAAGCUGCGGCAGCGACACUAUGUGUUGUUGGGUAGGGGAGCGUUCUGUAAGCCUGCGAAGGUGACCUGUGAGGGUUGCUGGAGGUAUCAGAAGUGCGAAUGCUGACAUAAGUAACGAUAAAGCGGGUGAAAAGCCCGCUCGCCGGAAGACCAAGGGUUCCUGUCCAACGUUAAUCGGGGCAGGGUGAGUCGACCCCUAAGGCGAGGCCGAAAGGCGUAGUCGAUGGGAAACAGGUUAAUAUUCCUGUACUUGGUGUUACUGCGAAGGGGGGACGGAGAAGGCUAUGUUAGCCGGGCGACGGUUGUCCCGGUUUAAGCAUGUAGGCUGAUUGUCCAGGCAAAUCCGGAUAAUCAAGGCUGAGGUGUGAUGACGAGGCACUACGGUGCUGAAGUAACAAAUGCCCUGCUUCCAGGAAAAGCCUCUAAGCAUCAGGUAACAUCAAAUCGUACCCCAAACCGACACAGGUGGUCAGGUAGAGAAUACCAAGGCGCUUGAGAGAACUCGGGUGAAGGAACUAGGCAAAAUGGUGCCGUAACUUCGGGAGAAGGCACGCUGGUGUGUAGGUGAAGCCCCUGCGGGUGGAGCUGAGACCAGUCGAAGAUACCAGCUGGCUGCAACUGUUUAUUAAAAACACAGCACUGUGCAAACACGAAAGUGGACGUAUACGGUGUGACGCCUGCCCGGUGCCGGAAGGUUAAUUGAUGGGGUUAUCCGUAAGGAGAAGCUCUUGAUCGAAGCCCCGGUAAACGGCGGCCGUAACUAUAACGGUCCUAAGGUAGCGAAAUUCCUUGUCGGGUAAGUUCCGACCUGCACGAAUGGCGUAAUGAUGGCCAGGCUGUCUCCACCCGAGACUCAGUGAAAUUGAACUCGCUGUGAAGAUGCAGUGUACCCGCGGCAAGACGGAAAGACCCCGUGAACCUUUACUAUAGCUUGACACUGAACAUUGAGCCUUGAUGUGUAGGAUAGGUGGGAGGCUUUGAAGCGUGGACGCCAGUCUGCGUGGAGCCAACCUUGAAAUACCACCCUUUAAUGUUUGAUGUUCUAACGUUGGCCCCUUACCGGGGUUGCGGACAGUGUCUGGUGGGUAGUUUGACUGGGGCGGUCUCCUCCCAAAGCGUAACGGAGGAGCACGAAGGUUAGCUAAUCCUGGUCGGACAUCAGGAGGUUAGUGCAAUGGCAUAAGCUAGCUUGACUGCGAGCGUGACGGCGCGAGCAGGUGCGAAAGCAGGUCAUAGUGAUCCGGUGGUUCUGAAUGGAAGGGCCAUCGCUCAACGGAUAAAAGGUACUCCGGGGAUAACAGGCUGAUACCGCCCAAGAGUUCAUAUCGACGGCGGUGUUUGGCACCUCGAUGUCGGCUCAUCACAUCCUGGGGCUGAAGUAGGUCCCAAGGGUAUGGCUGUUCGCCAUUUAAAGUGGUACGCGAGCUGGGUUUAGAACGUCGUGAGACAGUUCGGUCCCUAUCUGCCGUGGGCGCUGGAGAAUUGAGGGGGGCUGCUCCUAGUACGAGAGGACCGGAGUGGACGCAUCACUGGUGUUCGGGUUGUCAUGCCAAUGGCACUGCCCGGUAGCUAAAUGCGGAAGAGAUAAGUGCUGAAAGCAUCUAAGCACGAAACUUGCCCCGAGAUGAGUUCUCCCUGAGACUUUAAGUCUCCUGAAGGAACGUUGAAGACGACGACGUUGAUAGGCCGGGUGUGUAAGCGCAGCGAUGCGUUGAGCUAACCGGUACUAAUGAACCGUGAGGCUUAACCUU
rnacentral:rRNA from 2 species